rnacentral:rRNA from 1 species
GACGAACGCUGGCGGCGUGCUUAACACAUGCAAGUCGAACGGAACUUCUUGGAUAGAGACUUCGGUCAAUUGAAUUGAAGUUUAGUGGCGGACUGGUGAGUAACGCGUGAGGAACCUGCCUUUCAGAGGGGGACAACAGUUGGAAACGACUGCUAAUACCGCAUAAGUGCACAGUACCGCAUGGUACAGUGUAAAAAACUCCGGUGGUGUGAGAUGGACCCGCGUCUGAUUAGCUGGAUGGCGGGGUAACGGCCCACCAUGGCGACGAUGUCUAGGGGUUCUGAGAGGAAGGUCCCCCANAUUGGAACUGAGACACGGGUCCAAACGUCCUACGGGAGCAGCAGUGAGGAAUAUUGGGUCAAAUGGACGGAAGUCUGAACCAGCCAAGUCGCGUGAAGGAUGAAGGUUCUAUGGAUU